AACUCCAGCUCCAAAAGCGUAUAUUAAAGUUGCUGCAGUUAAAAAGCUCGUAGUUGGAUCUGGGUCGCGCGAUUACGUGUCGUUGCGUGGUUCUGAUUUCGGUCAGUUCCAUGUGAUGAUGAGGUGGUCGUGCAGCCUUUCAGCCGUGUCUGCGUGAGCAGGUGUUGGCUAGUCGGUGGGCUUGCUCGCUGGCUAGUUGGCAUGUUUCCUGAUGCCUUUAAACGGG
rnacentral:rRNA from 1 species